rnacentral:ribozyme from 13 species
GAAACAAAUAUCAACAACAGCGACACCAGAAAGAGAAAUCUGGUGGAGAAGAUUCUCAUCUUCUUUGAGGGUCUCUCCAAAGAGACUGUCUCUCUUUCUUUUUUUUUCUCUUUCUCUUUCUCUU